AUCCUGUUUUGGUGGUGCAGCUCUUGGGAUCAGUGCUCUGAGCACCCAGCAGAAGAGGCUCUGAAUGCUUCGGGCUCAGUUAGUCAAGCACCGUGAGCUGCAACAGGGAACAUACAGACAGGAGGCCAGCUGGAGUCUCUCUCUUUCACUUCCUGACGUGUACACCCCGUCAACCCUCAAAUUUCAGCCUCCGAAGCUCCGAGAAAGCCCCUUGGGGAAUACUCUGCUCCUCCCUUUCACUGGGCAGAGCGACCAGCACAGGACCCAGCAUUAGAGAGCUGAACAGCCCCAGACCCCGCGGGCCGGGAGAGCUUCUGGGCAUCCUUCCGUGGGGUCCCAUCACCUCCCUGCUGGAGGCAGACUGGGUACCAGGACCCUGCGGUGAAGCCGACUGGGGAGCAGCUUCCUCCAGCCUCUCCAAGCACAGACGUCAGCGGCGAGGCUCAGACUUGGUGGCUGUGCUCUGUCUCUGCACAGGCUUGUCACCUCUGAUUCAGCCUAGGGUAUGGUUCGAGGUUGCAUCUCUUGUAAACCCCCCUUCAGCUGCUGUCAAGGGCUGGCACCGGAGUUCUUGAAUUUAGGCUGAUGUGGGUCCUGCUAGAGCCUGCUGUCCUCUGCACAUGUCAACAAAUGUGUAUGCAGGUGUGGACCAGCUGGAUCUCUCUCCUUCUCUGGGAAGCGUGGUUUUCAGCAGCGUCAGGCUGGGAAGACAGACAUUUCAUGAACCCUGAAGUCCUGUGCAGGCAGUUGUCACACAGUGUUCCACCAGCGGCCCACGGCCGGCACAGAACACUGCAAAGCUCCAUCUAGCACAAGUGACCACGGGGAACGGGUUGAGAAUCCUGCUGCAUUGUACACGUCUCCUAAGGGAAGAACAUCAAGAAAGAUGAGCUCGCCGCGGAAUUGGCGAACUGUGUGGAAGGGGCGGGAUCUGUAGAGCUCAGCAGCGGCGAGCUCCUGUCAUGGCUUGGCCAGUUCGGGU